UACGUAGGUGGCAAGCGUUAUCCGGAAUUAUUGGGCGUAAAGCGCGCGCAGGCGGUUUCUUAAGUCUGAUGUGAAAGCCCACGGCUCAAACCGUGGAGGUCAUUGGAAACUGGGGAACUUGAGUGCAGAAGAGAAAAGCGGAAUUCCACGUGUAGCGGUGAAAUGCGUAGAGAUGUGGAGGAACACCAGUGGCGAAAGGCGGCUUUUUGGUCUGUAACUGACGCUGAGGCGCGAAAGCGGUGGGG
rnacentral:rRNA from 1 species